UCCAAUUUUUUUUUUAAAUACUAAUCCAAUAAACGAGUUUGUUUCAGGUUGAUUAACUUUAAGGAUCAAAUGUGUAGGUAUAAGGUCAAAGAUUCUGGAGAGGAAAGGAAAGAAAAAGAGUAUAUGUAAGUAAAAUUAAAAAAAAGAAAUAUAUGUAAGACAUAAAAUAUAAAUAUGGAUAAAAUUUAUAAAUUAACUAUUUUAUGUAACAAAAUGUUUAAUUUCUUUGUGGAACUUUCAAAGAAUUUGGAUUUUUAUUAAUCUAUUUUAAGUUUUUCAGAUAAAAAGAAAUUAUUUACUUGCUUCUUACUUCAAAAUUCAACAUUGAAGAUUCAACGUUGAAGAUUGACAUAUUUUUCCAGAAUUCAACAUAGAAGACACAUACCUUUCCAUAUCCUUCUUCUCCUGUUUAUUAUAUUCAGAUAUUUGUUGUAAUUAGGAAUUUUAGAAUUAAGAAUUUAAUUAGGAAAUAUUUUGAAUUAAAAUAUUAGUGUAAUACUCUAUAUAAUAAGUUAUUAAGAAUAAGUUAUUUAUAAGACAAUAGUAUAUAAGAUAUAGAUUAAGCAAAAUAUAUUUAUAAGUGCAUGCAAGGGUGUUAAUUAUAAGAUAAAAUGAAGUAGUAUAGAUAAGUAGAUAAUUAAUGGGAAAAAUGCAUGUAGUUCAAUGCAUGUAACGCAAUGCACGCAGUCAAUGCACAUAGCUUAAUGCACAUGGCUUAAUGCACGCAGCGCAAUGCAUGGUGGUGGAAUGCUUAUUUUGCUUAUUUUUUUUUCUUUCUUUUCACGCUUUUUAACUAUCAAUUAUUUUCAUUCUCGUGAUAAGAACGAAGAUAUUGAUAGGAAGUAAUAUCUCUUAAUUUUAAUUGAGAAAUAUUACUUUUAGAUUUAGAUUUUCGCGUCGGUUUUCCUUCAAGUUUCCUUUUGUUAUUUGAUUUACACAACGAUCAACGGUUUGGACGUUUUGUAAAUGUGCAUCAAAAGGAAAAUUUAUUUAAAAAAAUAUUAAUUAAAAAAAUUUUUGCGCAAAAGGAGGGUGGAUGGGACGUCGUGGUUAGGGUGGGUCUCCAAAGCAGCAACCUCCACGCGGUGAGACCUGGGUCAGUAUUAUUUGCUACAUUAAUUAUUAAUUGUAUCGCAAUUGAUGUAAUUAUUAUGUACUAGCAAAUAAUACUAGCUAAUUGGCUGCAAUCGCGAUUAUUUUUUUAUAUAAAGCAUGCUAAAAAUUAAGAACUUAUUUUAAGAACUUAAUUUUUUAUAAAAGUUUUGUUGUCAUUUGUAUUAGUUGGUAGCAUGUUAUUAUAAUUAGUAAAAAAUGAUAGCAUGUAAAAAUUUAAAUAUAAGAUAUUUUGUAAUAUACAUUAUAUUGUAUUAGUAAUAAGGCGUAACAAAUGUAAAUUCUGUGCAUUGCUAAUAAGUUACCAUCUAACGAGAUAAACCAACAUAUGUGUGUUAUAUUAUAUUUGGUGAGAUAGAAGAGGCUUAAUGCCUGCACUCUCAAGGUAAUUAACUUACCAGCAAUGCACAGUACUAAUGUUCUUUAAGGUCGGUAUUUCGGAACGUGUUGUAUAGACUUCCGUAAGAUGUCGGUAUAUUCUGUUUCUUGUCGGUAAAAACGUGUCGAUAUUUCAGAAUUCUCUAACGAAAAUGUAUUACUGUUGUAGAUAAAGCAGAAACGUCAACAGUCGAUAUAGAAGAAUACUUUGAUAUAAAUCUACGAUCGAACGAAACAGCUGUUGUCUCGAGUUCGGGGGUGGUAUCUACUGUCAGAUGCUCCGCCUAUAAAUCAACCGAGCUCAUGGGGGAGACAGGCCGACGCCAUGUUAACAUACAUAAACAAACCUUGCGCGCCCUAACUGAUAAACGGCGAAAGCUGCGCGCAACAAGCGAUCGUACGCUAAAAUAAAAUAAAUCUCGCUGUCUAUUCACAGUUAGAUGUUUUCACGAAGAAAAAUUAAACAGGCUGCCAGGAAUAAUUAAUAAAUGUCAAUCAGUUCCGUGGAAUCGAAGGUGUUGGUGAAGAGAAGUACCAGCUAAAAUGAUUUUAUGCCUGUCUUAUGAACAAUCUAAUGUUACCCGACCAAUGGACAAAGAUCAUAGGACGGCUAAUGGUCGAAGACUCGUCCGUCUCGAAGACCCGAGACUAAUCAGCGGGAGCAUUAAUCAUCCCCGUGGAUCCUCGACCCAAUUUUCG